rnacentral:lncRNA from 1 species
UUCAUUGACAAGUGAACGAGUGCUCCUGAAAUAUAUCUUCGAUUGACGAGAGGCGCUGUAAAAUGUAAAUUAAUAUGGCGUCAAACAAACAUGCAGACACAUAUCAAAAUAAAUAUAUUUUGAUCGCCUUUUUUUCCGUAGUGUCACAGCUAUCAGAGCCUUGGGUGGUGUUUCCGUCUGUAUACCAGGAAGUUCAAAUACUUCAACAGUUUUUCUCUUGGUCUCUUGGACGAGGAUGAUUCUUCUUUUGAUUUCUUCUCAGAAGUUUAGACUGAUCUUUUUCUUUCACGUCGGAUUCAAUCGUCUCUGGUUUGUUUCCCAAAACAUGACCAAUUGUGUCAGGCUGUCAGCAUCACUUGCGCCAAGCUAGGGAGAUAUAAUAGGUUAGUGGUAUGCAACCUCGUUCCGAAGUUGAGUGGUAUACUGGAUUACUGCAUACGUCUUUCACCGCAGUGAUUGGGGUUUUGAAAU